rnacentral:tRNA from 2 species
AAGGAUUUAAGUUAAAAAAACUAAUAGCCUUCAAAGCUGUAAAUAAAGUAUGAGUCUUUAAGCCUUA